rnacentral:rRNA from 1 species
CCAUAACUCUGAGGUGCGAAGUGGUUCUGACCUUUUGGUACAGAGAAGUCAUUGAUGCCCGGCUUCCAGGAAAAGCUGCUAGCCAUAACUUAUAGAGAACCGUACCGCAAACCGACACAGGUGGACAGGUAGAGAAUACUAAGGCGCUUGAGAGAACUCGGGUGAAGGAACUAGGCAAAAUGGUACCGUAACUUCGGGAGAAGGUACGCCCUUUUGGGUGAGGGCAUUUACUGUCUGAGCUUAAGAGGGCCGCAGAGACCAGGUGGCUGCGACUGUUUAUUAAAAACACAGCACUCUGCAAAUUCGUAAGAAGACGUAUAGGGUGUGACGCCUGCCCGGUGCCGGAAGGUUAAUUGAUGGGGUUAUCUUCGGAGAAGCUCUUGAUCGAAGCCCCGGUAAACGGCGGCCGUAACUAUAACGGUCCUAAGGUAGCGAAAUUCCUUGUCGGGUAAGUUCCGACCUGCACGAAUGGCGUAACGAUGGCCACACUGUCUCCACCCGAGACUCAGUGAAAUUGAAAUCGCUGUGAAGAUGCAGUGUACCCGCGGCUAGACGGAAAGACCCCGUGAACCUUUACUAUAGUUUUGCACUGGACUUUGAUGAUGACUGUGUAGGAUAGGUGGGAGGCUGUGAAGUGAGGACGCUAGUUCUCAUGGAGCCGCCCUUGAAAUACCACCCUGUUGUUAUUGAGGUUCUAACUUGGUCCAGUAAUCCUGGAUGAGGACAGUGUAUGAUGGGUAGUUUGACUGGGGCGGUCUCCUCCCAAAGAGUAACGGAGGAGCACAAAGGUACCCUCGGUACGGUCGGACAUCGUACCAAGAGUGUAAAGGCAAAAGGGUGCUUGACUGCGAGAGUGACGGCUCGAGCAGGAACGAAAGUUGGUCUUAGUGAUCCGGUGGUUCUGAAUGGAAGGGCCAUCGCUCAACGGAUAAAAGGUACUCCGGGGAUAACAGGCUGAUACCGCCCAAGAGUUCAUAUCGACGGCGGUGUUUGGCACCUCGAUGUCGGCUCAUCACAUCCUGGGGCUGAAGCAGGUCCCAAGGGUAUGGCUGUUCGCCAUUUAAAGUGGUACGCGAGCUGGGUUUAGAACGUCGUGAGACAGUUCGGUCCCUAUCUGCCGUGGGCGUAGGAAAAUUGAGAGGAGCUGCUCCUAGUACGAGAGGACCGGAGUGGACGAACCUCUGGUGCACCGGUUGUCACGCCAGUGGCAUGGCCGGGUAGCUAAGUUCGGACGGGAUAACCGCUGAAAGCAUCUAAGCGGGAAGCCUCCCUCAAGAUGAGUUUUCCCAUGAAGCCCGUUGAAGACUACGACGUUGAUAGGCAAGGUGUGGAAGCGCAGUAAUGCGUGAAGCUAACUUGUACUAAUUGGCUGAUUGUCUUGACCAUAUAAUCUGAG